CUUUUUUUUCCAGUGACUUAGAACAGAUGGCCAGCCCCACACAAAACUUUUCUGAGUUUGAUUCAGCCCUACAGUACAAAUUAGAGAGUUUUCCAUGCAAGUUUUCAUCUGUCCCAGGCCAUCAACUGAUACAGAAGUCUCUAAUAAAGUUGAGUCCUAAGUCACUACUUGGAAGGUGGUGACAUUUUGUCAUCCCCAGCUCCACCAUAGGAGGAUACAAGCCACCUCCAUUCAAGAGGAUACAAGCAUGAAUUUA